UACGUAGGGCGCAAGCGUUGUCCGGAUUUAUUGGGCGUAAAGAGCGUGUAGGCGGCCAUGCAGGUCAGCUGUGAAAACUCGAGGCUCAACCUCGAGACGUCGGUUGAAACCGUAUGGCUAGAGUCCGGAAGAGGAGAGUGGAAUUCCCGGUGUAGCGGUGAAAUGCGCAGAUAUCGGGAAGAACACCCGUGGCGAAGGCGGCUCUCUGGGACGGUACUGACGCUGAGACGCGAAAGCGUGGGGAGCGAACAGG
rnacentral:rRNA from 1 species